rnacentral:rRNA from 1 species
AGCUACUAAGGGCACGU